rnacentral:rRNA from 1 species
CACGUAGGCACCAAGCGUUGUCCGGAUUUAUUGGGCGUAAAGAGCUCGUAGGCGGUUCAGUAAGUCGGGUGUGAAAACUCUGGGCUCAACCCAGAGACGCCACCCGAUACUGCUGUGACUUGAGUACGGUAGGGGAGUGGGGAAUUCCUGGUGUAGCGGUGAAAUGCGCAGAUAUCAGGAGGAACACCCGUGGCGAAGGCGGCUCUCUGGUACGUGACUGACGCUGAGACGCGAAAGCGUGGGGAGCAAACAGG